CCUACGGGAGGCAGCAGUGGGGAAUAUUGGACAAUGGGGGCAACCCUGAUCCAGCCAUGCCGCGUGUGUGAAGAAGGCCCUCGGGUUGUAAAGCACUUUCAGUGAGGAAGAACGCCUGGUGGUGAAUACCCAUCAGGAAAGACAUCACUCACAGAAGAAGCACCGGCUAACUCCGUGCCAGCAGCCGCGGUAAUACGGAGGGUGCGAGCGUUAAUCGGAAUUACUGGGCGUAAAGCGCGCGUAGGUGGCUUGAUAAGCCGGUUGUGAAAGCCCCGGGCUCAACCUGGGAACGGCAUCCGGAACUGUCAAGCUAGAGUGCAGGAGAGGAAGGUAGAAUUCCCGGUGUAGCGGUGAAAUGCUUAGAGAUCGGGAGGAAUACCAGUGGCGAAGGCGGCCUUCUGGACUGACACUGACACUGAGGUGCGAAAGCGUGGGUAGCAAACAGGAUUAGAUACCCCUGUAGUC
rnacentral:rRNA from 1 species